rnacentral:rRNA from 1 species
GACUCGUCACACUAUCAUUAACUGAAUCCAUAGGUUAAUGAGGCGAACCGGGGGAACUGAAACAUCUAAGUACCCCGAGGAAAAGAAAUCAACCGAGAUUCCCCCAGUAGCGGCGAGCGAACGGGGAGGAGCCCAGAGCCUGAAUCAGCAUGUGUGUUAGUGGAAGCGUCUGGAAAGGCGCGCGAUACAGGGUGACAGCCCCGUACACAAAAGCGCAUGUGCUGUGAGCUCGAUGAGUAGGGCGGGACACGUGGUAUCCUGUCUGAAUAUGGGGGGACCAUCCUCCAAGGCUAAAUACUCCUGACUGACCGAUAGUGAACCAGUACCGUGAGGGAAAGGCGAAAAGAACCCCGGCGAGGGGAGUGAAAAAGAACCUGAAACCGUGUACGUACAAGCAGUGGGAGCACAGGUUUA